rnacentral:rRNA from 1 species
UGAGGAACAUGACCUUCGGCGGGGGAUAGCCGGCCCAACGGCCGGGUAAUACCGCGUACGACCACAUGGGGACAUCCCCGAGUGGUGAAAGCAGCAAUGCGCCGAUGGAGUGCCUCGCGGCCUAUCAGCUAGUUGGUGAGGUAACGGCUCACCAAGGCAACGGACGGGUAGCUGGUCUGAGAGGAUCGGCCAGCCACAUUGGGACUGAGACACGGCCCAGACUCCGUAGGGACGG